rnacentral:lncRNA from 1 species
CCAUGGUUCUGUAUUUUCAGUGUAAAUUACAGAAAUGUGACGAAGUCUUUUGUGUGUGUGUGUGUAUGUGUGAAAAUGGGCAUGUAAGCAUUUUCAUGCAUAUCGAAUUUAUGCUUUUCAGAAAGGCCUAAUGUUUUUAUGGAAUUCUGUUUAGUAAAAUCUGUUUCAAAGAAAUCCACGUGCCAAUUUUGGACAUCCUGCAGACAUGUGCCCAAAACUGUUUCUUUUUUUUUUUUUUUUUUACUUUACUGCCUUAAUACAUAGCAUGGGCCUCAUGUUGUAGGUAGAAAAACUGAUGUUGGAGAUAGAUGUGCAACUCUUUCAUCCUUUACUCGAUGCUUACAUUAAGUGGCCGUAAAUUUACGAAAAAAACUAAGUUAUUUUUGUUUUGAGAGAGACCGCUCAGAUUCAGAGAAAGCAUUUAAUUCCUAGAAAGAAAUUGCAACAAAGCUUGGUGUCGAUGUCCCGGAGAUAUGCAAAAAGCAAAGCAGAGAAGCAUCCGAGAAAAGUUUUCCAAAGCCAUGAAAAGAAUAAAAGGAAAGAGUAAAGAUAUAAGGUAACAAGUACCAAAUACAUGUUUCAAAUAAAUGUUACACCAUACUGCUGCUGCUGUUCUUUCAAUAAGUGAAUUUAAAGGGUAUACAGUAAAUGAAAUGCCAAACAAAUAUAUAAUAAUAAACCUUUGAUUUUAUCAAAACAAUUUAUCUAAUUUAAUAAAAUAAAUGAACACUAAUAAAAUAAAGCAACAAACUGAUUCCAAUAUUUUUUUUUUCCCACAUCAUGCUAAAGUUUUCAGACUAUGAGCCAUUCACACUUCCCAUAAAGGACUGAUUAUGGAAUGGCUCUUUUGUAUUGCAAACAUGAUACUUGACUCUGAAUUGCUGCUAAACAUAAUUCUUUUGUCUAUAAUAUUCUGACCAUUGGGCCCCGUCUCACACCUAGAUUGCCUACACUUCUUCAUUUCAUCGUUGUUUUGUUUAGGGGAUACACACGAGUGUCGUGACACAUGUUUACAUUAAUCUACACCCCACUUCCAGUAGCGCGGGGGUGUUGGAAAGUUUGUUAACAGUAUACCGUCGCUCAGCCUUUUCA